CCUACGGGAGGCAGCAGUAGGGAAUAUUGCUCAAUGGGGGAAACCCUGAAGCAGCAACGCCGCGUGGAGGAUGAAGGUUUUCGGAUUGUAAACUCCUUUUGUUAGAGAAGAUAAUGACGGUAUCUGACGAAUAAGCACCGGCUAACUCCGUGCCAGCAGCCGCGGUACUACGGCGGGUGCAAGCGUUACUCGGAAUCCCUGGGCGUAAAGAGCGCGUAGGCGGGAUAGCAAGUCAGAUGUGAAAUCCUAGGGCUUAACCAUAGAACUGCAUUUGAAACUGUUAUUCUAGAGUAUGGGAGAGGUAGGUGGAAUGAUUGGUGUAGGGGUAAAAUGCGUAGAGAUCAAGAGGAAUACUGAUUGCGAAGGCGACUUGCUAGAACAUAACUGACGCUGAUGCGCGAAAGCGUGGGGAGCAAACAGGAUUAGAUACCCUUGUAGUC
rnacentral:rRNA from 1 species